rnacentral:rRNA from 1 species
AGGUGCUGCAUGGCUGUCGUCAGCUCGUGUCGUGAGAUGUUGGGUUAAGUCCCGCAACGAGCGCAACCCUUGCCUUUAGUUGCCAGCAGUUCGGCUGGGCACUCUAGAGGGACUGCCGGUGUUAAACCGGAGGAAGGUGGGGAUGACGUCAAGUCCUCAUGGCCUUUAUGACCAGGGCUACACACGUACUACAAUGGCCGAUACAAAGGGCAGCGACACUGCGAGGUGAAGCCAAUCCCGUAAAAUCGGUCUCAGUCCGGAUUGGAGUCUGCAACUCGACUCCAUGAAGUUGGAAUCGCUAGUAAUCGUGGAUCAGCAUGCCACGGUGAAUACGUUCCCGGGCCUU